rnacentral:rRNA from 1 species
AUUGAACGCUGGCGGAAUGCUUUACACAUGCAAGUCGAACGGUAGAGGGGGCAACCCCUCGAGAGUGGCGAACGGGUGAGUAAUAUAUCGGAGCGUGCCCAGUCGUGGGGGAUAACGUAGCGAAAGUUACGCUAAUACCGCAUACGAUCUAAGGAUGAAAGCGGGGGAUCGCAAGACCUCGCGCGAUUGGAGCGGCCGAUAUCAGAUUAGGUAGUUGGUGGGGUAAAGGCUCACCAAGCCAACGAUCUGUAGCUGGUCUGAGAGGACGACCAGCCACACUGGAACUGAGACACGGUCCAGACUCCUACGGGAGGCAGCAGUGGGGAAUUUUGGACAAUGGACGCAAGUCUGAUCCAGCCAUUCCGCGUGCAGGAUGAAGGCCCUCGGGUUGUAAACUGCUUUUGUACGGAACGAAAAGGUCUCUCUUAAUACGGGGGACUCAUGACGGUACCGUAAGAAUAAGCACCGGCUAACUACGUGCCAGCAGCCGCAGUAAUAC